UGGGCGUAGAGGGCUCGCAGGCGGUUUCUUAAGUCUGAUGUGAAAGCCCCCGGCUCAACCGGGGAGGGUCAUUGGAAACUGGGGAACUUGAGUGCAGAAGAGGAGAGUGGAAUUCCACGUGUAGCGGUGAAAUGCGUAGAGAUGUGGAGGAACACCAGUGGCGAAGGCGACUCUCUGGUCUGUAACUGACGCUGAGGAGCGAAAGCGUGGGGAGCGAACAGGAUUAGAUACCCUGGUAGUCCACGCCGUAAACGAUGAGUGCUAAGUGUUAGGGGGUUUCCGCCCCUUAGUGCUGCAGCUAACGCAUUAAGCACUCCGCCUGGGGAGUACGGUCGCAAGACUGAAACUCAAAGGAAUUGACGGGGGCCCGCACAAGCGGUGGAGCAUGUGGUUUAAUUCGAAGCAACGCGAAGAACCUUACCAGGUCUUGACAUCCUCUGACAAUCCUAGAGAUAGGACGUCCCCUUCGGGGGCAGAGUGACAGGUGGUGCAUGGUUGUCGUCAGCUCGUGUCGUGAGAUGUUGGGUUAAGUCCCGCAACGAGCGCAACCCUUGAUCUUAGUUGCCAGCAUUCAGUUGGGCACUCUAAGGUGACUGCCGGUGACAAACCGGAGGAAGGUGGGGAUGACGUCUUAUCAUCAUGCCCCUUAUGACCUGGGCUACACA
rnacentral:rRNA from 1 species